GAUGAACGCUGGCGGCGUGCCUAAUACAUGCAAGUCGAGCGAACAGACGAGGAGCUUGCUCCUUCGACGUUAGCGGCGGACGGGUGAGUAACACGUAGGUAACCUACCUAUAAGACUGGGAUAACUUCGGGAAACCGGAGCUAAUACCGGAUAAUAUUUCGAACCGCAUGGUUCGAUAGUGAAAGAUGGCUUUGCUAUCACUUAUAGAUGGACCUGCGCCGUAUUAGCUAGUUGGUAAGGUAACGGCUUACCAAGGCAACGAUACGUAGCCGACCUGAGAGGGUGAUCGGCCACACUGGAACUGAGACACGGUCCAGACUCCUACGGGAGGCAGCAGUAGGGAAUCUUCCGCAAAGGGCGAAAGCCUGACGGAGCAACGCCGCGUGAGUGAUGAAGGUCUUCGGAUUGUAAAACUCUGUUAUUAGGGAAGAACAAACGUGUAAGUAACUGUGCACGUCUUGACGGUACCUAAUCAGAAAGCCACGGCUAACUACGUG
rnacentral:rRNA from 1 species